ACACACGUACAUAUCCAUGAAGUGCUGGGCUGGCAAAUAUAUAUUAAGGUUGACAAAGUCAGGAAGGGUAUCUCGCCAUUGAAGUACACGUUCCCUAGCAUGCAAUAAUAUAAAUAUCUAUAUUAAGGGGUUGUUCUCUUGUGGACAAAGGUACAACCACCGUAAAACCAUGUCCGCUAACUAUCCGAGCAUUCUCAUACCAAACUAGUUCUACCAUUCUUCCAUGAUAAUGCUACGAUACACAGUCCAUCACUUAGCUAAAAGGAACAUAAAUUACCGGUGCCGGCCGAUCAUUGGACUAUACUAAAAAAGAAUAUGCACUAUAUAUGUCUUCUCUCAUAAAGGUGUUAGAUGUGUCUAGAUGAUGUACCCACCAUGGUCUGCGUUGUCAACUGUGGGCCUAGUAACAUCAACCAAUCUGCAGAUGCAUAUCUACCGACGGAUAAGUACGCGACAACUCAUAGCAUCACAAAAUAUGAUUUCCCACCCUAGAGAACCCCAUUCCCAUAUCCCCAAAGUCAGCAACAUGAUAACAGGAUAUCUCCAAGAAACAGCGGUGCCGCCG
rnacentral:lncRNA from 1 species